UGGGUGUCCCAAGAGGCAUUUUGGGUGCAGGAACCCCCUUUCCUCUCACAGCUUUAUUUCCUUGCAGAUGCUGUCUGUCUGUCCUCCCCCCGGCCCGUCCCUCCUGCUGUCCCAAUGUCACCCAGCUGGCCGCCUCUGAUAAGGGCUCCCGGGGCAGAUAAGAAGUUCCUCCCCUUCUCCUCCCUCUCCUGGAGCAGCAGCAAAUGGUGAGUUCGAGCUUUCUCAGCCCUUAAACCCCCAGGAAAGUGAAACCAAUCCCACGCCCUCCCAGGCUCUGGGAAAAACAUUUGUGAACGCAAGUCUUUGGUGAGAGAAGUGAAAUAAUAACAAAAAAAAAAAAAAGUUGGUUUCCCUUCUCCUGAGCAGCCCCAAGCCACCCUUGAGGUUCCAGGGCAGGGUUACCUGGAGCAAACCCUGCUCUGUGAUGUGGCAAGGACACACCCUGCAGGACACAGGAGGAAAUCUUGACGGGAUGUUGAGUCAGACUCUCAUAAUUCUUACUUAAAAGAUGAUUAAAAUGGAAAUAUUUUCUGAAAUGCAGCACAGGAGGAAAUCUUGAUGGGAUGUUGAGUCAGACUCUCGUAAUUCUUAUUAAAAGAUGAUUAAAAUGGAAAUAUUUUCUGAAAUGCAGCACAGGUGAGGAUCUGAGCGGCAGAGCAAAUGCUGCAGGUGAAACUUGCCCUGAAAAUCCCUCCCCAGUCCAGAGGUGAGUGAGUGAUGAGCCAAAAAAAGAGGAUUUCGAGACAAUGUGACUCCAGCAGGCCAUGAGAACAAUGAGAAGCUCAAAAAUAGCACUAUUGACUGGUGGAAAAACAACAUACAUAUAAUUUUCAGGCUUUGCUUAUUAAGAAUCAUUUACUAUCUGUGGAAACAACUUCUGACUUGAGCAGUGGGGCCUUAAAAAAUCACUUUUAAUUGGAAUGAGAGAGUUCCUCCCAGUGAAAGCCUGGGUCUGUUGGUGCUGGAAGUCUGGAGAGUGCAAUUAAAAGCUUCCCUCACCUCUGUGAUGAUAUCUUGGAAAUAAAUGCAGCUUUCUGGAGUUUUUCUCCUCAUGUUUGAAUAGUUUUUUGGCCAAUUUGAAGCUUCUGCAGGAUCUGAUGUUUUAAGUUUUGCCUGGCUUUGAAUUUCUCAGCUGCCCAGGACCUGCUGUGGUUGCUUUUUACUCUUUCUUCUCGUGCUGCGUCCACAAAUUAUGAAAAUGGGUGCUAAUGACCAAAAAAAAAAAAAAAUAAUCCCAAUCGUGAUUCAUGGAAAUGGAAUUUUGUUGACAAAAAAAGGGGGAUUUAACUUGGCCAAAGGAAAUGCUUUUCCAACUGGAGAUGAAUAUCUCAGGAAUGACCAUUUCUUCUCAGAGACAGAACUAUUCCAGUUUUCAUUUCAGAAAAAAACCAGAAUAGAAUAAUGCAAAUAAAGACCUGGAGAAAAGCAAGCAGGCCCACCCGAAAGGGGCAGUUUUUCCAGGCAAAGAACUCCCAAAAGGUGAAUUUUGGGUGAGUGAAGCGAAGGUGGGGAGGAUGCUGGGGCAGGAAACGCCGUCACCUCCCCUGGGCUGGCCACACCUCGUCCCAGUGCAGACCAGCAGCUCCCAAAAUCCUGGAAUGGCCAGGCUUGGAGGGCACCUCAGAGCUGUCCCCAGAUCUGCUCCUG